GACAGGUUCUAUUAAGGGUAUCCAUUGUAUCUUCUUCUGUUAUUUCAGACUGCAAGACGAAGGUUAUUGAGAAGGAGGAACCAGAAAUACAUUCUGACAGACCAUCAAAAACGCAAUGGUUGUGGCUAUUGGCACUUUUUCCAGCUUUUUUUCUUUGCUCCUUUAUCUACUGGUUUCGGAAGAAACCUCAUAAAUAUGAAGCUACUCCCCAAGAACCCUCUACCAACGCAAACACAAAUGGCCGAUUUGAUGGAGAUGGGAAUCUGAAUGGCCCAUGUAAUUUAAACGUGCCCCCAAAUGGCCCAUGUAAUUUGACUGUGCCCCCAAAUGGCCCAUGUAAUUUGACUGUGCCCCCAAAUGGCCCAUGUAAUUUGACUGUGCCCCCAAAUGGCCCAUGUAAUUUGACUGUGCCCCCAAAUGCCCAUGUAAUUUGACUGUGCCCCCAAAUGGCCCAUGUAAUUUGACUGUGCCCCCAAAUGGCCCAUGUAAUUUGACUGUGCCCCCAAAUGGCCCAUGUAAUUUGACUGUGCCCCCAAAUGGCCCAUGUAAUUUGACUGUGCCCCCAAAUGGCCCAUGUAAUUUGACUGUGCCCCCAAAUGGCCCAUGUAAUUUGACUGUGCCCCCAAAUGGCCCAUGUAAUUUGACUGUGCCCCCAAAUGGCCCAUGUAAUUUGACUGUGCCCCCAAAUGGCCCAUGUAAUUUGACUGUGCCCCCAAAUGGCCCGUGUAAUUUGACUGUGCCCCCAAAUGGCCCGUGUAAUUCGACUGUGCCCCCAAAUGGCCCGUGUAAUUCGACUGUGCCCCCAAAUGGCCCGUGUAAUUCGACUGUGCCCCCAAAUGGCCCGUGUAAUUCGACUGUGCCCCCAAAUGGCCCGUGUAAUUCGACUGUGCCCCCAAAUGGCCCGUGUAAUUCGACUGUGCCCCCAAAUGGCCCGUGUAAUUCGACUGUGCCCCCAAAUGGCCCGUGUAAUUCGACUGUGCCCCCAAAUGGCCCGUGUAAUUCGACUGUGCCCCCAAAUGGCCCGUGUAAUUCGACUGUGCCCCCAAAUGGCCC